rnacentral:rRNA from 1 species
UACGAAGGGGGGCUAGCGUUGCUCGGAAUCACUGGGCGUAAAGGGUGCGUAGGCGGGUCUUUAAGUCAGGGGUGAAAUCCUGGAGCUCAGCUCCAGAACUGCCUUUGAUACUGAAGAUCUUGAGUUCGGGAGAGGUGAGUGGAAUUCCCAGUGUAGCGGUGAAAUGCGUAGAUAUUGGGAGGAACACCAGUGGCGAAGGCGGCUCACUGGACUGGUACUGACGCUGAGGCGCGAAAGCGUGGG